GACAGACAGAAACGAAAAAAAAAGAAGCAUAAGGGAGGAAGUGCUGCGUCUGGGUGGACGUGCCCUUCUGUUUGUCUGUCUGUAUUGGCUUUUUUGUUUCAUUCAUUGUGUUUCUUUUUACUUACUUCUCU
rnacentral:ribozyme from 11 species